UACGUAGGGUGCAAGCGUUGUCCGGAUUUAUUGGGCGUAAAGAGCUCGUAGGCGGUCUGUCGCGUCGGAUGUGAAAACCCAGGGCUCAGCCCUGGGCCUGCAUUCGAUACGGGCAGACUAGAGUACGGCAGGGGAGACUGGAAUUCCUGGUGUAGCGGUGAAAUGCGCAGAUAUCAGGAGGAACACCGGUGGCGAAGGCGGGUCUCUGGGCCGUAACUGACGCUGAGGAGCGAAAGCGUGGGGAGCGAACAGG
rnacentral:rRNA from 1 species